UACGAAGGGGGCUAGCGUUGCUCGGAAUCACUGGGCGUAAAGGGUGCGUAGGCGGGUCUUUAAGUCAGGGGUGAAAUCCUGGAGCUCAACUCCAGAACUGCCUUUGAUACUGAGGAUCUUGAGUCCGGGAGAGGUGAGUGGAACUGCGAGUGUAGAGGUGAAAUUCGUAGAUAUUCGCAAGAACACCAGUGGCGAAGGCGGCUCACUGGCCCGGUACUGGACGCUGAGGCACGAAAGCGAUGGG
rnacentral:rRNA from 1 species